rnacentral:rRNA from 1 species
UACGUAGGGGGGCAAGCGUUUGUCCGGAAUCAUUGGGCGUAAAGAGCGUGUAGGCGGCUCGGUAAGUCCGCUGUAAAAGUCCAGGGCUCAACCCUGGAAAGCCGGUGGAAACUGUCGAGCUAGAGUCCGGAAGAGGCGAGUGGAAUUCCUGGUGUAGCGGUGAAAUGCGCAGAUAUCAGGAGGAACACCAAUGGCGAAGGCAGCUCGCUGGGACGGUACUGACGCUGAGGAGCGAAAGCAUGGGGGAGCGAACGG